rnacentral:rRNA from 1 species
AUUGAACGCUGGCGGCAGGCCUAACACAUGCAAGUCGAGCGAGCGGCGGACGGGUGAGUAAUGUAUGGGGACUGCCCGAUAGAGGGGGAUAACUACUGGCAACGGUAGCUAAUACCGCAUACUAUCUGCUAACCCAUAUGGGAUUAGCUAGUAGGUGAGGUAAUGGCUCACCUAGGCGACGAUCCCUAGCUGGUCUGAGAGGAUGAUCAGACACAAGGGGACUGAGAAAAGGCCCAGAAUCCUACGGAGGCAGCAGGGGGGAAUAUUGCAAAAGGGGCGCAAGACUGAUGCAGCCAUGCCGGGGGUAUGAAGAAGGCCCUAGGGUUGUAAAGUACUUUCAGUCGGGAGGCGUUACCGACAGAAGAAGCACCGGCUAACUCCGUGCCAGCCGCCGCGGUAAUUC